UGGAUAACCCUGACAAAAGUAUAGUUUUAAAGAAGAUAGACGGAGCUACACUGCAUUGGUUAACUACAGUGGAAGCAGGAAACGGAUUCCCUUUAAUGGGCCGUUUUACUUGUUUGAUUUUCUUCAUGGACCAUCGAUCUGGUCAGACAACUGGGUAGCAUGCACAAUUUUGUUCAAGUUUUCAAUCUCAAUUUCAAGUCAAUGAAAAAAAAAAUGACAGAACAUGGACCCCAUCCAUCCACCAGCUGCCUUAAUACAAGAUAAAAAGUGCUUUCAUUCUAAACACUUCCAGAAUGCCAAGAAAUAAUCCAAGCUGCCCCCCCCCCUCUGUAAACAUAAAAGGUAAUAAUUGCCCAAGUUUUUUAACAAAUUGUAGAAAUCCUUCAUUUUCCUAGUGUCACCCCCAGAAAUGAUCAUACACGUUCACUAUAGUCUCUAGAACAGCAGCACAUUUUAUUCCAUCCAUUGUUCAGAUCAGCUUUUUACAGCAUCAUUAGCUCCUAGACGCGGAGCACAUUAUUACAGCUGGCUGGCAGACUGGAGCAAUAUAUAUAUAUACACACACACAGAAGGUUCUUGGGCAAAGUCCCGGCUAUAUUAAUACGGACACGCUCCCUAUGAGUGCAGCAGGUCUGUGGAGCUGUCGGUAAUGACUAGAUAAUGGCCGAGGCAAACUAUACCGAUUCACAGUACAAAUUGUUUGUAUACGGAGGUUUUAGGAGCAAUGAUUUGCUCUACAUUAAAGAGAAUCUGUUACUGAGUUACAUGAUGCAGUAAUAAUCCCAUGACUCCUGCUCCUACUAAAACCAAUGUAUCUUCUUGUCUCCCCAAAACAGCUCUGCUCCUCCACUGGCUGUCUGGACUGCAAUACCAGAUGCAACUUUCUUCUAAUCCUGGUCAUCCCCUUUAAAUAGUGUUUCCAGGUAGGACAUUAUUUUUAAUAGGGAAAAAAAAAAAAAAAAAGCGUUACCUCACCAAUCCCCUCCUGCUGUCCAUUUCACUCCGGCUAGACACACAGACAAAGGUUUGGAAAGUGGGUCCCCACUGAGAGCCAGUGAUUGACACUGAUGGAAAACCCCUUUAAAAGGAGCUAUGCUACGUUUUAAAGGUAUUUCCUAGCCACAGGAUGGGGGGGGGGGGGGGGGGGUCAGACUGCUGUGACCUCCACCACUUCUAGGUAUGGAGGCCAGAUCCCCCAUCUUGAAGGAGCGUCAGGGCGGCAUGCACCCUCUCGCUCCCUUCAUUAUCUAGGGCAGGGAUGCUCAACCUGCGGCCCUCCAGCUGUUGCAAAACUACAACUCCCAGCAUGCCCUAAUAGCUGUAGGCUGUCCAGGCAUGCCAAGAGUUGUAGUUUUGCUGAAGGGCCGCAGGAUGAGCAUCCCUGAUCUAUGGGACUACCGAACAGAGCCGAGCGCUGUACUCUGUUGUCUCCGGCAGUCCCACAGAGAAUUAAUGAAUUAAUGGCGCAAGCUUGACUUGCUGCUCCAUCAGGGUGGGUGGAAAGAGUUCUUGGGAUCAGAGGGGGAACCAGCAGACACCUACUGAUCAGUUAUCCCUUAUACUUAUAUUUGACGAGAUUGCACCAGAAGGUUCCUGAGUGACAGGUUCUCUUUAAAAACACCCUUCGUACAAUAAAUCUGAUUUAAA